UACGGAGGAUCCAAGCGUUAUCCGGAAUUACUGGGCGUAAAGAGUUGCGUAGGUGGCAUUGUAAGUUGGUAGUGAAAGCGUGGGGCUCAACCCCAUAAACAUUAUCAAAACUACAAAGCUAGAGGAUGAGAGAGGUUAUUGGAAUUCCCAGUGUAGGAGUGAAAUCCGUAGAUAUUGGGAGGAACACCGAUGGCGUAGGCAGAUAACUGGCUCAUUCCUGACACUAAGGCACGAAAGCGUGGGUAGCAAACGGG
rnacentral:rRNA from 1 species